rnacentral:piRNA from 1 species
UAAAAACCUUUCCAGAAUCAAAAGGUACGC